AGCGAACGCUGGCGGCAGGCUUAACACAUGCAAGUCGAACGGGCGUAGCAAUACGUCAGUGGCAGACGGGUGAGUAACGCGUGGGAACGUACCUUUUGGUUCGGAACAACCCAGGGAAACCUCGGCUAAUACCGCAUAAGCCGGAGAAAUCCGGGAAAGAUUUAUCGCGAGAGGAGGGGCCCGCGUCGGAUUAGCUUGUUGGUGGGGUAACGGCCUACCAAGGCGAUGAUCCGUAGCUGGUCUGAGAGGAUGAUCAGCCACACUGGGACUGAGACACGGCCCAGACUCCUACGGGAGGCAGCAGUGGGGAAUAUUGGACAAUGGGCGCAAGCCUGAUCCAGCAAUGCCGCGUGAGUGAGGAAGGCCUUAGGGUUGUAAAGCUCUUUCACCCGCGACCGAUGAUGACGGUAGCGGGAGAAGAAGCCCCGGCUAACUUCGUGCCAGCAGCCGCAGUAAU
rnacentral:rRNA from 1 species